GCCCUCAUAGCUCAACGGAUUGAGCAGGCCCGUCCUAAGGGCAAGAUGGUGGUUCAAUUCCGCCUGAGGGCA
rnacentral:tRNA from 1 species